GUGCCCCUCCGCCCCCUUUCUGUGGCGUGUCCCCGGGAGGUGGUUCCGGUGCCUCUGCGCUUGCCCCCGGUCCCGAUGUUGCCUGGGCUGAAGAGGAGGGGGACUGGGUAGUGAACAGCGACCCUGGAGGCUCAGACUGGACCCUUCUGAAGGGGUUCUUCCUGGAGGGUUGCUGCCUUGGCUCCAGUGUGCCACUUGUAGGUGUUGAGAGGGUCGACGUCCUCAGGAGGAGGGGCGUCUUGAGGAUGCUCAGCAGGUGUCUCCUUCUCCUCCUCUGUGGGUCCCGUCUCCUCUGCAAUCGGUUUAGCUUCUGGCUCAGAUUCAGCCUCCUGGUUUGUGCCCAUUUUCAUCUUGGUUUUUGUGAGUAUCUUUUUUUUAGCUUGCUCCUCUCACUGUUUUCAAGAAUGGAAUAAAUCGUCUUUACCUCCUUACUUAAGGUCCCCUCAAAAUGUAAUCACUUAGGAUGACUAAUAAUCUGGACAUCACUUGUUUUUCUUUCUUGAUUCUUUUUUUUAUUUCUGUGUUCCAAAAUGUCAUCCGGCAACAUCUGUCUGACUGCUUCGUGUGUAGUUCCUUUGCUGUGAGUCUUCACGCCCUCAACCUCCCACACUCAACGGUUGCUUCCUUUCACAGUGUCACUAACUCUGUUUUUUUUUUCAUGUAUUAUAGUAUUCUGACUGGUCUCUCUGCUCUCUCACCUCUCCCCUUCUUCCCCUUGACAUCCUAUCCAAGAGUUCUCUUUUUACUUUCUCUCAAAUCCUCCCACACCCUCUGUAAUGUUCUUAAUGCCUUACUGGCCCUUGUCCUGAACAGAGUAUUGUUAAAUUCCUCCGCUGCAUGGAAGACAUCUCUUCAUAAAAUCCUCAGGACCUCUUCACGUGUAUGGUUUAGGUAACUAAAACUGUUGUUAAGUCUGAAGUUGUCCUCCACCUCACAGGAAGUGUGUCAGUUCGCUCAAUCAUUUUGAAAGCGCCAGAAAGGAACAGGGGACGUCUUCAAAUGUUCUACCCACUUGCCUACUCUUUCUUUGUAUAUGAAAUGUAAAUACAUGCUUUGUUCUGAUUUGUUCAUUUAGCCUAGAUAUGAAUUGUUUGCAUCUGUACCUUCCUUUACACAGACGGCUCUUAUUUCUUCACACCUUCCUCUUUUAAAAAAAAUGUAAAACAUUGAUUGAGACAUAUGAUCUGAUGCUAUAGUAAUAAUGGGAAGCUGAGACAUCCAUUUCACAACUCUGUCUUGGGGCCUGUCCCAUUCACCAGUUCUAUCAACUAUUCGGAUCAACCCUGAAGUUCAUACAUUAACGACAACAAGAUGUAGAAUAUUUAUUGAAUGAUAUUUAAUAGAACAUCAUCACCAUCUGUGGGUCGUCUGACACAGAUACAUGUGGUUGUUUGUGUUCAGUGGCUGCUGGGCUCAGUUUCCCGUCUAAACCAGCAGCACUUCCUGCCAGCCAAACAGGUUCGAUAGACUCUAAACCACUUCCUGUGUUGAUGCUGCACAGUUGUGACACAUGCACCUGUUAAAUAUUUCAAUCUCACACACUGGUCAACGCGUGUUUCAUGAGAUGAUGACUGUGAGUUUGAAUUGGACAGGCAGCCAAGAAUUCUGAUCCAACACCAUUGGAUAGGUGAAAACAGGGUUCCUCAUUACAGUUCUCUCUGAUCAGUGCCAGAUCAGAGAACCAUUUUCAAAGUAUUCUCCUUUGAGUUGUGGAUUCUCUUUGAACUGUCUCCUUAUGCAACCUACAACGGACUUAGAAGACAUACUAACAACUUCCAAUAGCUUUGUCAAAGCCCCACCACUACAAGUAUAAUUUAUCUAAACCUUUACUCAGAAACACUGGAGGGCACUAUUAUACCAAUAUAACUGAACUGUCGUCAGGAUAUAUUAUUUAACAUACUGUAACACCUAUUUUAAAGUCCCUGCAUUGGUUGCCUGUAGUUUUAUAAUUGAUUUUAAACACACUAUGUGGCCCUGCACCUGAAUACAUGUCUAACAUGCUUUUAAGAUACUGUAUGUGCCUGGUCGGUACCUCAGAUCUUCUGUCAUGGGUCUUUUAGUUGUUCCAAAGGUGAGAACCAAAACGUUUGGUGAGGCUGCCUUCAGCCACCAUGGUCCUGGCCUUUGGAACAGCCUGCCGGAGGAUCUGAGGGCCUCAGAAACUGUAUACAUUUAGAAGAGCUACUUUUAAGCCGUACUUUUGCUUAGUCCUAUCUAUUUUAUCCCAUUGUAUAUAUCUUAUUUAUUUUAAUGUAUUUUAAUGCAUUAGUCUCAUGUCCACUGUUAUCAUUUUACUAUUUUAAUUAGUCUCAUUUUUAUUUGAUUUGCUAAGCACUUUGAAAUGCAUCAUCUAUAAGAAAUGUGCUAUGUAAAUAAAGUUUUGAUUUGGUUUUGAUGAGGAAAAUAGCCCACAGUAGAGCCAUUCAACCACAAACUUA